rnacentral:rRNA from 1 species
UACGUAGGGGGCAAGCGUUGUCCGGAUUUAUUGGGCGUAAAGAGCGUGUAGGCGGUUAGGUAGGUCCGUUGUGAAAACUCGAGGCUCAACCUCGAGACGCCGAUGGAAACCAUCUGACUAGAGUCCGGAAGAGGAGAGUGGAAUUCCUGGUGUAGCGGUGAAAUGUGCAGAUAUCAGGAGGAACACCAAUGGCGAAGGCAGCUCGCUGGGACGGUACUGACGCUGAGACGCGAAAGCAUGGGGAGCAAACAGG